rnacentral:tmRNA from 1 species
GGGGCUGACUUGGUUUCGACAGGAUCAAGACGCUUUUAACUGCAUGUCGGACUGAGCAUUUCCGUUACGCGGCUCAUAAUUGCUUAAACGCAAACAAUACAAAUUACCGCCCAGCUUUAGCAGUAGCUUAAGUUUUAACCCCUCUUAGGAGGUGGGCUGCUUCACCUAUGGACUCUGGAUAAAUAGGAUUCGAAGUAUAACCCUUAUGUAGAUAUAUUUUACGUCUGUCUCAGCGUAAAAUGAACUUUGAGGCUCGUCUUGUGUAGCUUUGCAAGUAGUGUGAAGCAAGAUUAAACUUUAACAACUUCUCUAAGCAUGUAGACGUUGGGAGUAGCUUGGUUUUGGACAAGGGUUCAAUUCCCUUCAGCUCCACCA